rnacentral:rRNA from 1 species
UGGGGAAUUUUGGACAAUUGGGCGAAAGCCUGAUCCAGCAAUGCCGCGUGUGUGAAGAAGGCCUUCGGGUUGUAAAGCACUUUUGUCCGGAAAGAAAUCCUUGGCUCUAAUACAGUCGGGGGAUGACGGUACCGGAAGAAUAAGCACCGGCUAACUGCGUGCCAGCAGCCGCGGUAAUACGUAGGGUGCAAGCGUUAAUCGGAAUUACUGGGCGUAAAGCGUGCGCAGGCGGUUUGCUAAGACCGAUGUGAAAUCCCCGGGCUCAACCUGGGAACUGCAUUGGUGACUGGCAGGCUAGAGUAUGGCAGAGGGGGGUAGAAUUCCACGUGUAGCAGUGAAAUGCGUAGAGAUGUGGAGGAAUACCGAUGGCGAAGGCAGCCCCCUGGGCCAAUACUGACGCUCAUGCACGAAAGCGUGGGGAGCAAACAGGAUUAGAUACCCUGGUAGUCCACGCCCUAAA